AGAAUGUACAGUGUCUGCAAUUUUACUAUUACAUAUCAGGGAGCGAAAAAUCAGGAGGAAGUUUGAUGACCAGCAUUUCCUCAACAGGAACUUCGAAACAGCAAAACAUUUGGCAGCGAUCUACCAAAGGUUUAGUCUGGGACGUUUGGACCGCAGUAGACGUGGCAUUCAAACAAACGGAAGAAUUCACGAUGAUGUUCACGUAUGCUCAAACGGCUGGAAAAGUCUACCAAAAGGUCACUUGCGCCAUUGAUAACAUCGAGCUACAUGACUGCGUGGGGAC